rnacentral:rRNA from 1 species
CGGCACCUCAAGUGGUCAGGAUGAUUAUUGGGCCUAAAGCAUCCGUAGCCGGCGCUGUAAGUUUUCGGUUAAAUCUGUACGCUCAACGUACAGGCUGCCGGGAAUACUGCAGCGCUAGGGAGUGGGAGAGGUAGACGGUACUCGGUAGGAAGGGGUAAAAUCCUUUGAUCUAUUGAUGACCACCUGUGGCGAAGGCGGUCUACCAGAACGCGUCCGACGGUGAGGGAUGAAAGCUGGGGGAGCAAACCGGAUUAGAUACCCGAGUAGUCC